rnacentral:rRNA from 1 species
GCCGGUGAUAAACCGGAGGAAGGUGGGGACGACGUCAAGUCAUCAUGGCCCUUACGAGUAGGGCUACACACGUGCUACAAUGGCGCAUACAGAGGGCGGCGAGCCAGCGAUGGUGAGCGAAUCCCAAAAAGUGCGUCGUAGUCCGGAUUGGAGUCUGCAACUCGACUCCAUGAAGUCGGAAUCGCUAGUAAUCGUGGAUCAGAAUGCCACGGUGAAUACGUUCCCGGGCCUUGUACACACCGCCCGUCACACCAUGGGAGUGGGCUGCAAAAGAAGUAGGUAGUUUAACCUUCGGGGGGACGCUUACCACUUUGUGGUUCAUGACUGGGGUGAAGUCGUAACAAGGUAGCGCUAGGGGAACCUGGCGCUGGAUCACCUCCUUAU